UCGGGAAUUUUGGGCAAUGGGCGAAAGCCUGACCCAGCAACGCCGCGUGAGGGAUGAAGUAUUUCGGUAUGUAAACCUCGAAAGAAUGGGAAGAAUAAAUGACGGUACCAUUUAUAAGCUCCGGCUAACUACGUGCCAGCAGCCGCGGUAAUACGUAGGGAGCAAGCGUUGUUCGGAUUUACUGGGCGUAAAGGGCGCGUAGGCGGCGCGGUAAGUCACUUGUGAAAUCUCUGAGCUUAACUCAGAACGGCCAAGUGAUACUGCUGUGCUAGAGUGCGGAAGAGGCAACCGGAAUUCUUGGUGUAGCGGUGAAAUGCGUAGAUAUCAAGAGGAACACCUGGGGCGAAGGCGGGUUGCUGGGCCGACACUGACGCUGAUGCGCGAAAGCCAGGGGAGCAAGC
rnacentral:rRNA from 1 species